rnacentral:rRNA from 1 species
UGGGGAAUAUUGCACAAUGGGCGCAAGCCUGAUGCAGCCAUGCCGCGUGUGUGAAGAAGGCCUUCGGGUUGUAAAGCACUUUCAGCGAGGAGGAAGGGUUCAGUGUUAAUAGCACUGUUCAUUGACGUUACUCGCAGAGGAAGCACCGGCUAACUCCGUGCCAGCAGCCGCGGUAAUACGGAGGGUGCAAGCGUUAAUCGGAAUUACUGGGCGUAAAGCGCACGCAGGCGGUUUGUUAAGUCAGAUGUGAAAUCCCCGCGCUUAACGUGGGAACUGCA